GACGAACGCUGGCGGCGUGCCUAAUACAUGCAAGCCGAGCGCAGGAAGCCGUCUGAACCCUUCGGGGGGACGACGGUGGAAUGAGCGGCGGACGGGUGAGUAACACGUAAAGAACCUGCCCAUAGGUCUGGGAUAACCACGAGAAAUCGGGGCUAAUACCGGAUGUGUCAUCGGACCGCAUGGUCCGCUGAUGAAAGGCCCUUCGGCGUCGCCCAUGGAUGGCUUUGCGGUGCAUUAGCUAGUUGGUGGGGUAACGGCCCACCAAGGCGACGAUGCAUAGCCGACCUGAGAGGGUGAUCGGCCACACUGGGACUGAGACACGGCCCAGACUCCUACGGGAGGCAGCAGUAGGGAAUCUUCCACAAUGGACGAAAGUCUGAUGGAGCAACGCCGCGUGAACGAUGAAGGCUUUCGGGUCGUAAAGUUCUGUUGUAAGGGAAGAACAAGUGCCGCAGGCAAUGGCGGCACCUUGACGGUACCUUGCGAGAAAGCCACGGCUAACUACGUGCCAGCCGCCGCCGUAA
rnacentral:rRNA from 1 species